rnacentral:rRNA from 1 species
AUUGAACGCUGGCGGCAGGCUUAACACAUGCAAGUCGAGCGAGCGGCGGACGGGUGAGUAAUGUCUGGGAAACUGCCUGAUGGAGGGGGAUCACUACUGGAAAAGGUAGCUAAUACCGCCUACCAUCCGAUGUCCCCAGAUGGGAUUCGCUAGUUGGUGGGGUAAUGGCUCAACUAGGACACGAUCACUAGCUGGUCUAAGAGGAUGACCAGCCACACGGGAACUGAGACCCGGUCCAGACUCCUACGGUAGGCAGCAGUGGGGAAUAUUGCACAAUGGGCGCAAGCCUGAGGCAGCCAUGCCGCGUGUGUGAAGAAGGCCUUCGGGUUGUAAAGCACGUUCAGCGAGGAGGCGUUACUCGCAGAAGAAGCACCGGCUAACUCCGUGCCAGCAGCCGCGGUAAUAC